rnacentral:rRNA from 1 species
GUGGGGAAUAUUGGACAAUGGGCGAAAGCCUGAUCCAGCCAUGCCGCGUGUGUGAAGAAGGUCUUCGGAUUGUAAAGCACUUUAAGUUGGGAGGAAGGGUAGUAACCUAAUACGUUGCUACUUUGACGUUACCGACAGAAUAAGCACCGGCUAACUUCGUGCCAGCAGCCGCGGUAAUACGAAGGGUGCAAGCGUUAAUCGGAAUUACUGGGCGUAAAGCGCGCGUAGGUGGUUCAGUAAGUUGGAAGUGAAAUCCCCGGGAUCAACCUGGGAACUGCUUUCAAAACUGCUGAGCUAGAGUACGGUAGAGGGUAGUGGAAUUUCCUGUGUAGCGGUGAAAUGCGUAGAUAUAGGAAGGAACACCAGUGGCGAAGGCGACUACCUGGACUGAUACUGACACUGAGGUGCGAAAGCGUGGGGAGCAAACAGGAUUAGAUACCCGAGUAGUCC